GACGAACGCUGGCGGCGUGCUUAACACAUGCAAGUCGAACGGAAAGGCCCUUCGGGGUACUCGAGUGGCGAACGGGUGAGUAACACGUGGGUGAUCUGCCCUGCACUUUGUGAUAAGCCUGGGAAACUGGGUCUAAUACCGAAUAGGACCACGCGCUUCAUGGUGUGUGGUGGAAAGCGUUUGCGGUGUGGGAUGGGCCCGCGGCCUAUCAGCUUGUUGGUGGUGUAAUGGCCUACCAAGGCGACGACUGGUAGGCGGCCUGAGAGGGUGACCGGCCACACUGGGACUGAGAUACGGACCAGAAUCCUACGGGAGGCAGAAGUGGGGAAUAUUGCACAAUGGGCGCAAGCCUGAGGCAGCGACGCCGCGUGAGGGAUGACGGCCUUCGGGUUGUAAACCUCUUUCAAUAGGGACGAAGCGGAAGUGACGGUACCUAUAGAAGAAGCACCGGCCAACUACGUG
rnacentral:rRNA from 1 species